rnacentral:lncRNA from 1 species
GAAGUGUUGUUAUUACAGGCGUGAGCCACCGCGCCCGGCCCCAUAAAUUUUUAAUAGGAGAAAAGGGAAACUGUGAACCCUGACAGAUAUAAUAGAUUCCUCUUCAAGGGCCUAACUUUCUUGUUCCUUGUUCUUAGGACCAACUUUUUUGUACCUCUUUGUACCUAGACACCCGCUCCGUAAACAACCCAAACCGCCUGUUCCAAUCUGCGACCCGAACCCCUUCCUUAUUUGGAAAGUAGCCAAUCGGGUCAGCCUAGAUUGUGAGGUCAGACCCCGGCCAAUGGGGGAAGGACACAGAGGCAAUAACGGCGUUUAGGGUUAAAAACCCCUUUCAAACUGGGAGGCCGAGGCGGGCGGAUCAACUGAGUUCGGGAGUUCAAAACCAGCCUGACCAACAUGUUGCGGAAGGCCCUCGUGACUGGACCUCCUGCCAAACAACUCGUUACAAAAAACUGAGGGUACCAGACUGCGCCAAAGCUUCAUGAGACCUGUCCUCAUCUGUGCAGAAAUGAGUGGCCGACUCUGGAACCCAGGCUGUUGCUUACCACCUUGGUGGUGAAACCUCCAUACUCUAGUCCUGAAGGGGCGAGGCCUUAAGCAUUAUCCAAUCAGGGACACUGGGCUGGAAACCGUCCAAUCAGACACCCAGCUGGAGCGAACAGGUCGACUUCCGAGUUUGGCGGGGCCUUUGUCUCUCACUGCACCUGGAGCUCCAGGUCUCAUCUUCACUACUCUGUGUCCUCUGCUGCUGGAGGCCCAGCCCUGUGACCUGACGGUUUUGGGAGAUCCACAGCUAAGACGCCAGGACCUCCUGGAAGCCUAGAAAUGGACCACCUGAAGCAUGGAGUGUAGACUUUCAAGGGAGCAGGUGGCAGCCUUGGGGCUGAAAGGCAUCUUCUGGUGCACUUUUUUUUUUUUGAAAAGCUAACCCCUUGAGACAUGAAGAUUGUCUUCACUCAACCUGGCUUUCAUUUCUAGGAGACACAUUGCUGGUCAGUCAAUCAGAUGCUGGUAUUGAGGGGAAAACAAAUAAUUUCUGUCUUCUGGAUUAUCUUGUGGGAGGGGCAGAAAAAUAGUGAAAAAACACUCCAAAAGACAAAAAACUGACCCCAGUGAGAUGGCAUAAAUAACUUACAAAGUAAAAUGCACCUGGGGCACUCACUGGGGCAUAGUGCAGUGUCUCCUGGGAGGGUGGUUAUUGCGCAUGUAAGUGAACAGGAUGGGGUGGGUGAUUGGAUCUGUACCUUGAAAAGAUUUGUUUACUUAUUUUGACCUCAGUUUUUUUUUAGACAGUCUCCCUCUGUUGCAUAGGCUGGAAUGCAGUGGC